ensembl:lncRNA
CUUAUUUGAAUUUUCAACUCGUUUUAAUACUUACAUGUGCGGAAGUAGAGCCUAAUAUGGGGGAUAAUGAAGAAAACCCAAAUUUUGACAUUCAAGUAAAGUUUGAGAAAAAGGAUAAUGAAAACUUUAUCUAUCUGAAAAUGAAUUUAUGUAAACAAAUACUAAUUCACUUUGAUAAAGAACAUUUUUACUACUUCAAUUUUAAUACACUUUUCAACUAUGUAAGUUCUUCUGAUAAACCUACUGCAUUCAAAGAAAUUAUUUUACAAAAACAAAAUAGCUUAUUUAAAAAAAAUAUAUCUGUGAUAUACAUCCAAUGUUUUAAGGAUUAUUUUGACGUAAUAAAUUUUUUCUGGAAAAAAAGUGGACAAUUGGAAGAAGAAUAUUAUAUAAUAGUUGGGAGGAUAAUUUCUUCAUUUAAUAUGAAUAACAUCUAUAUAAAGACUGAGUUCGAAAUUAAUGAUGACAAUAUUGAGUCUGCUAUUAAUGAAGGCAUCCUUAACGUAUCUGAUAUUGACAUUUUUAAAACUAUUGUUGAUUAUGCAACAUUAGAUAAAAAGGUAUCUAAGAGCCGACAAUUCCGUUAUGCUCUCAUUGACAUAAUCUUUGGAAAUCAAGAAAAACUUCUUGUUAUACGUAACCCUUAUGACAUGAUUGCUUUACUUGCAGUGUCAUUUUCAGAGGUGAUCAGAAGUCAAGUGAUGAUACUAAUCAUCCUUAUUUCUUUGACAAUGGAUUCCUUAAAUACUUGGAGCGACUUCCGCAAGUAUCUGCCACUAUGUGGGGGAACCUGGAAAAAGAAACAAGAGAACUGUCAAAAAUUGAAAGAUAAAAUACAAUUUUUUUUUUUUAAAACAAAAUCUGAAACAUUUUCUAAAGUAACUUCUAAAGGUUUUGAUUAUUAUUUUUAAAUCCCCCCCAAAAAUCUACAAGCAUUUCGCUACACUCGCAUUAACAUCUGCCAACCAUGUGACCAAUAAAAUUUGAUUUGAAUUCAUCUUCAUUAUCCCCCACGUUGCUCCACCUCUGCCUCUGGGAGGAGCCAGGCGGGGCUCAAAGCGGGUAAGUACAGAUUCUUCUCCACUGACGUCAAUGCCAACGUGAUACUACCUCUGUUACACUGAACACAUAUCCUAGAUCUAGAGGAACUUGAUUUGCAUUUAUAAAUAGCAGAAUGUUCUGUAGGUGGUAUGAUGUGUGUUCCAACUUCCACUGCCAACAAGGAACACGAACCACUUUACACAUUACAUUGGAGUCAACCAUACUUUCCUUCAGUCUAAUCCAACUGAACCCAGUUUUACCUGUUGUAAAUCUUUUUUUAUCAUUACAAACUGUGUCUAAAGUUUCCUGACAUAUAUUUUACACUUUAACAGUUGGUGUUAAAUCAGUUUUUCUAAUAUAUAUAUAUAUAUAUAUUUUGUUUAGUCAUCAUAUUUCGACCUCCAGACUCCCCCAUCUCAUCCCACCAACUCUGUCAGCCUGCCAGGCCCCACAAUGCAGCCUCCGCACCACUGCAGUAACAGCCACAUCUUCCCAUCACAAAGCUUCAGUACUAUCUCAAUGUAUUGUAAGUCCUGUACAGCACUUGGUAUUCAUCACUGUUGAGACAAUGUUACAGCUGAUAACAUGUAAUGACAUUUCCAACCUAAUCAACCCCCUCUUAUUCUUCUCAUUCAGGAAGUACCAUCCAGGAUCCUGUGGCAACGUCAAUGUGAAACCGCAUUGACCAGUGAUCACCACCAAUCAGGGCUCCACAGCGGUAUCCUUGGACACCCAGUGAAACAGCAUUGACCCGUGAUCACCACCAACCAGGGCUCCACAGCGGUAUCCUUGGACACCCAGUGAAUCCAGAGAGAGCACACCAGGCAGCAUUGAGCACUUUGAUGAGAUUGGCUGUUCAGCAGGAAGAUUCAUCUGGCUACACAGAAGGGAUGAUGGCUCUGACCAAUAAAAUUCUAUUUUUGAAACUAUAUAACUGAAUAAACUAUGAUUUAACUAAAAACAUAUUUCUGU